AUUGAACGCUGGCGGCAUGCCUUACACAUGCAAGUCGAACGGCAGCAUGAUCUAGCUUGCUAGAUUGAUGGCGAGUGGCGAACGGGUGAGUAAUACAUCGGAACGUGCCCUGUAGUGGGGGAUAACUAGUCGAAAGAUUAGCUAAUACCGCAUACGACCUGAGGGUGAAAGUGGGGGACUGCAAGGCCUCAUGCUAUAGGAGCGGCCGAUGUCUGAUUAGCUAGUUGGUGAGGUAAAGGCUCACCAAGGCGACGAUCAGUAGCUGGUCUGAGAGGACGAUCAGCCACACUGGGACUGAGACACGGCCCAGACUCCUACGGGAGGCAGCAGUGGGGAAUUUUGGACAAUGGGCGAAAGCCUGAUCCAGCAAUGCCGCGUGUGUGAAGAAGGCCUUCGGGUUGUAAAGCACUUUUGUCCGGAAAGAAAUGGCUCUGGUUAAUACCUGGGGUGGAUGACGGUACCGGAAGAAUAAGGACCGGCUAACUACGUG
rnacentral:rRNA from 1 species